CAUAUCCCAUGUAAGUUACUGGUUACAGAUGUCUCCUAUCCAUCAUUCUCUUCCUCAAAAUCAAAUCACGCCUUCUCUUCCUCUUUCUCUGCUUUACAUCUCAUAUCGUCAUCUCAUCUAAAGAUUGCUAGAGAAUCUAAGAAAAGUGUUGAGUGCAUGGGUUCACUAGAAUUUGACGAUUCAGAAUGUGUCUCCUAGCGUUUUGGGAUGCAGCUGUCUUGCAAUCUGGGACUCGCGAUCCAAAACGCGGAACCUAAGAGAUGUGAACGAAUCUGGUAACUAUGGAAUGACCUUAGGGUUGCUGAACGAUUUCUCUAUGGUCAAACGACCUUAUCAAUGCCACUGAAAAGCUCACCUAAAAGCAAUUAAUACCAAGGAUAUGAUUUAUCCACAUCAAGCCAAGAGAACCCCAUUAAGAAAGCUAAAGAGAUAUGACUUAUCUCCUUCAUUAAACGCACGGAAACCCAAAUCCACCCUAUGUGCUAGUUAUUCACUUUUACAGUUGAGUUCCCAGUGGCUAUUAUCAAUCCUAACCUAGUAUACGAACCUAACAAUCACUACCGUGCUCAGAAGAUUAUCCCCUCCCAAUAGAAACCUACCUCAUGUUGGAGAACCUAGGGAUUAAGAGGGACAUGUGGCUUGUCCUUAUUGGGCAAUGAGUCUUAUAUAUACCCUGAUAGUCCGAGGUUAGGGAGAUCUGAAAAGGGUCACCAAGUAUAAAAAAUAGGUCGCUAGGAGUCGUUGGGCACAUUUAAUAUACCUACAAUAUUAUUUAUCCUUAUCUGGAUACACAUGGAUAUCAUCCGCACUUCCCUGGUUUCAUACAACAUCACUGACAAAGAAUAAUU